rnacentral:rRNA from 1 species
UACGAGGGGGGCAAGCGUUGUUCGGAAUUAUUGGGCGUAAAGGGUGCGUAGGCGGUCUGAUAAGUCUGAUGUGAAAUCUAUGGGCUCAACCCAUAGUCUGCAUCGGAAACUGGCAGGCUAGAGUGCGGGAGAGGAGAGUGGAAUUCCUGGUGUAGCGGUGAAAUGCGCAGAUAUCAGGAAGAACACCCGUGGCGAAGGCGGCUCUCUGGAGCGCAACUGACGCUGAGACGCGAAAGCGUGGGGAGCAAACAGG